CUAGAAUUUAGUUUGAAUCAAGCUUUCUGUAUUUUAUUUAUUUAUUUUUAUUAUAUUUAUUAUUAUUAUUAUUAUUAUUAUUUUAUUUUAUUGGUCAUGCAUGACUACUGUACAUCUGUCUAGUGUUAUACAUAAGUNAUAAAUAAAUAACAAUUCUGAAAAUUCUCAACACAAAAUCAGUCAUUUUGAUUAUUAAAAUAUUGUGAAAUCCAGGUGGGACUUCGAGCUAAUGUCACUGGGCUAACAUUUAGUUUUGUUGGGUCUGUAGGGUCUCCCUGGUUUCCCUGGACCUGCCGGACCCCCUGUGAGUCUUUUCUUCCUUUAGGAAAACAAUCAGAUCCUUCACUGCUAAAUUUGUUCAUGUUCUGUUGACAUUGUGUUGUCUUAUCAUUGUUUUCUCGUCCUUUUGAUUGUAUUUACUUACAAAAAAACAAAAAAACAAACAAAAACAAAAGAUCUUAGAAUGCCUUUAAGACAAAUGAUUCCUUUUGAAGAUUUGACUUUUGUGUUUUCUUUUUCUAGGGACCAGAAACUGUUGGACCUCCAGUAUGUGAAAAACCUGGUCUUACUGUGAUUGUCUCAAUCUCAGCUUUUAAUUUUAUCUUUAGACUUUUUAACACCCUUUUUUACACAUGCAGGGACUCCCAGGGAAGCCUGGUACUCCAGGGGACGAGGGAAACAUCGGACCAGAGGGUCCUCCUGGACCAAGAGGAGGAAUUGGGCUCCCAGGCCCACCAGGACCUCCAGGAUUACCAGGCCCACAAGGUGCUGGGAACCCUGAGGGAAGUGGUGAGACUUGCCAGACAACAUGUCCAGCUGGACCGCAGGGACUGCCUGGUCUGCCGGGGAUGAAGGUGAGUCCCCAACCCUAACUUCGGCUCAUAAAAAAAGAGUUAAAAUGUUUUUUAAAAAUUCAAAAAAAAUAUAUUUGUAAAAAUAUAAAAAUGUAAGACGUUUAAUUAUUGCUUUAAAUAAAAAAUAAAUGAUUAACA
ensembl:lncRNA